AUAGAGGAAAUUUAAGGCUCCAGAAUGCACUGCUGAGUUGGGGCCUCCCCUGGGGCCUGUUUCCCAUCUUUAAGUAUUUUCAUGGGGAAUUCUCAUUAUGUUCAAGGCUUAUUACACAUAUGUGUCUCCAUGUUCAUACAAUUCUCUCCCAACAAAGCCUGCCUCUUUAAAAUAAAAAUCAAAAGCACUUUGGCUUUUAGAUGGCUCUCUCUUCUGUAGACUUAAGAACUGUAUUUCGAAACUUAGAACUGAGCAAUGGCUUCUUUGUCUUGGUCCAUCUCUGCCUUCCCCCUUAAGGGGGACAGAUAAAAAGCUAUCAACACUGCCCAGGAAACAGUGACUUCUCAGUGUCUCUGCACAGCUCCCUGCUGUGUUCAUUUCCAUAAACGACCAGCAGGCCUUCUGAGUGAUGCUUCUGUAUUUUGCCUUGUAACGCCUACAUGUGAAUACUGAUCUGGGGAUGCUUUUUGCCUCUUUAGAUGCUUUUACAUGUCUUUGCUUGAUGGACAACAUGCUGAUUUCAUCCUCCAGGUCUAGAAGGGCCCUGUCUAACCGGAGACUCAUCAACGUCCCCCAUCACGGGAACUGCUGCCUUGUGUUCAGAUCCUGCUAUCUAAAGCCCGUCUCCUACCAGGUCUUAUCUUAGGUGAUAUUCAUCAACAAAAGUUUGCCUGGGAACGACAGUUUACUCUUAUCCCAUUUUCAACCAACGAAUGACCCUGAAAAGAGUUUAUAUGGAGGAAGGCUCAUAAAGUUAGUUAGAACUGCAAAUAGAAUCUGAAACCACCAGAUUGCAUUAUGGUAGCGAUAAAAAUUUUAAACACAGUGAGAUCAAUUUAAAGGAAAUUUGUCAGAGAGCAAGAGAGAAAAAAUAUUUCUCCCCAAAGAAGCUUCCUCACGCCAGCAGUCACUGGCUGACAGUACAGGACAGAGAGCACCACGGUGGACUCAGGGCGGGAGUGGGGCUUCUCCCUCAGCCCUGUGCAUGUCUCCCAACCUCGCUGUCCUUCCCCUCUCUCCCGAGGCCACAGUGUGGAGAGCUGGGAGGACAGGUAGGUCGGAGCCCAGACCCUGGCAACCACCGCACAAGUAGUCCCCAACAGACUGUGACUUUAGAAGACUGGGAGAAAUUCUUCAGUUCUCAGGGCUUAAAUCCACCUAAAACAUUCCAAAGUUCCCCAAAAUGGAGGUUAAAUGUGGCAAUGUUCACCUCACAGAGUCUGGGGAAAGGCUCACUGGAGGAUUCGAUUGUCCGGUCCUUAUGGGAAAGCGGAUGAUGAGACACGGGACUAUUCACCAUUUGAAGAACUCAAUCAACUCACCUCACUUGGAGUCCUUGCAUACUGGGCAAUCUUCUGACCAGAGCUGGCUUCUCAUGUUUAGUUUUUUUGGCCGUAAGUAGCAAAGGACUUCACCCAAAUUGGCUUAAACAAUAAAGAGUAUUAUUUUCUCAAAGGAGGAACAGUUGAGGGAUGGCAGGUUCAGGGUUGGUUAAUUUAGUAGCUCAACAAUAUCACCAAGGACCAGACUCUCUACAAAAUUCUCUUCUGCCAUCCUCAGGGUAUCAGCUGGUCCUCUAGUUCGUCACCUUGUGGAUAAAAGAUGGCGGCAACAGCUGUAAGCAUAGCAUCUUCACACAACAAAAUGUAAAGAUCGUAGUGAGAGUGACAUUUCUUUGUAAAACAAGAACGCUUUCCCAAGCCUCUCCACACUUCUCAAAAACCUUUCCUUCAUAUCUCAUUGGCUGUAAUUGUUACCAGGCUCUCUUGUAAGCCAAUGGUCGGCAAGG
rnacentral:lncRNA from 1 species